AUGCCCUACCUGCUGCCGCCGCCGCGCGCCGCCCAGCCCCAGCGGCUCCUCGCCCCGACCGUCACGCACCUCGCACGCCUCCUCCUCACGCACGCGCCGGCGAUCCCGCCGCUCCUCACCGCCAUCCUGCCCUCCUCGCCUUCUCUCCUCACGCCGCUCCUCUCCCACCUCCUGCUCUCCCACUCGCCGCCCCUCCCGGCGCUCUCCCUGUUCCGCCGCUUGCUCGAGCUCCCCCACUUCCCGGUCCCGGAGAGCGCCCUCCCCGUCCUCCUCCGCCUGCUCGCGCGCUCCCGCCGCUACGCGCACCACUCCUUCCAGCUGCUCGAGUCGCUCCCGUCCACCCACCCCCACCUCCUCUCCGUGCCCGCCCUCUCCGUCAUCAUCUCCACCGCGCUCUGCGCCUCCGCCCCUGGCGCGUCCUUCGCCGCCGCCGUCAGCUGCUUCGAGUCCGCCGCCGCCGUCUGGGCGCGCGCGGGGCGCUCGUUCGGCGCCGCCGAGCUGAACGCGCUGCUCCGCGUCUUCUGCGCCCGCGGCCGUGUCGCCGAGGCGCGCGCGCUGUUCCACCGGUACUGCGACGCGUACCCGCCCGACACCCGCACCUUCAACACGCUGCUGCUCGGGUUCAAGGAGGCCGGCCACGCGCAGGCGCUCGACCUCUUCUACCAUGACGCCGUGCUGCGCGGCUUCGUCCCGGAUGCCGUGUCCUACUGCGUGAGGAUGGACGCCUACUGCAAGAAAGGCAAGUUUCUGGACGCCCUCCAGCUGCUCGACGAAAUGCGCAAGAGGGAGAACUGCAAGCCGACGCUGCAGGUUUUCACCACGCUGAUAUACGGAGCCGGGAUCGUGAGGGACGCGGCCCGUGCACGUCGCCUGUUUGACGAAAUGGAGCAGAGCGGAGUGACUCCAGACCGUGGAGCUCACAAUGCGCUCAUGGGGGCCUAUGUGAGGGCAAGGGAUCUGCAGUCCGGGAUGGCGCUCAUGAGCGAGAUGGAGCAGAAGAGUUUUGGUCUGGACGAUGUCACCUACAACACGAUGCUGUGUGAGUUCCAGAGGGCCGGUGACUUGGAGGGGAUCUGGAAGAUAUACACCAAGAUGACUGGCUCGGGGUUCAUGCCAAGAACCAGGACGACAAUGCUGCUCAUGAAGGUCUUUUGCGAGAAUGGGCGGCCGGAUCUUGGCCUGGAGCUGUGGGAUUAUCUGAUCGGGAAAGGAUGUGUACCUCAUAGGCAUGCAUUGGAUGUUCUGGUUACCGGUUUAUGCUGCAGAGAUGUGGUUGGUGAAGCAUAUAGGUGCUUCCGGGAGCUGGUUGAGAUGGGAAUGGCACCUACAGAGCGUGCAUUCAGGGUUUUGGAAGGGUUCUUGAAGAAGAAGCGGGAGUUUGGGAAGAUUGACGAGAUUAGGCAAAUGAUGAAGGCUAUCCAAUUGGAGGAGCAUCAAGCUGAAGAAGAAGCUGCGUGA
rnacentral:rRNA from 1 species